rnacentral:antisense_RNA from 15 species
AGUAUUAUAGUUUUAAAGUGCUAUCAAAGCGUUAUUAGGAGCGCGUUUAAUACCCUUUAAAAUCAUUUGAUAAAAAUCAAAACCUAUAAAAAUGAGAACUAGAAUUGGAGUUAUAAUGAG